AACAGCGCCACAACGAGGCAAGAUGGCCGCCGGCCUGAGCAGAGUGGGCGGGGCCAGAGGCUGCUGAGCUUCACCAGGCAGCUGGCGGGAAAGGGCAGGGUGACCGUUAGUGACGGUGCUUGGUGGGGGAUGGGGGGUAUGUCUGCCCGCCCGCCCGCCAGCCAGCCCGCCCGCGGUGAGUGAUGAGGGAUGGCUGGAAGAGGAGGACGUGAAGUUCGGGAAAGUCUCAAGGAUGUUAAUUGACCCAGUAACUCGAGGAUCACCACAUCACGCAAGGGGAGAAGGUUAUGGUAACCUCAGCCAAAAUGGAAAUGGAAUACACACUUGGCAUUGUUAACCAGCUGUCUCGCCAACUGAGCUAACCAGCCCUCAAAACUUCUGCAGUUGCAAAUGAUACUAAGUGGAAAUGUGAGAAUGAAUCCUUAUGAAGCAUCUUCAAUCAGAGAGACAUGCAUGCCUGGAGAGAGAGAAGUGUUCAUGAGCUCAUUCCUGCAAUGGGGGAAUUGUCCAUGAGGAAACAUUAAUUUGCUGGGAAUACAUGUUUAUGCCGAAGGACAAUGUGGAAAAGGGGAAGAUAUGGAACAGUUUGGACAAUUUUCGGAUUGGACAGGGUUCACUAUCACCAUGGUUUCUUGGAUUGGAGUCAUCAGUUUAAUGUGUCUUUUGGUUUACCCACUGUCCAUUGACAGGGACUGCAUUGAUGUCUGAGGAGUCGUGAACAGUGCUGAACAAUUUACAAUCGUCGGCAAAUAUACCCACU